rnacentral:tRNA from 1 species
GCUCGCAUGGCUCAGUUGGUUAGAGCGUUGCAUUCACAUUGCAAAGGUCACUGGUUCGAAUCCAGUUGCGAGCA